CCUUUAAUAAGAGUCGUAGUACUGGCGGAAUCCAGCAGAGGGCGCUUUGCGCAUGGAUACUGAAGACACCUGACUUCCUGCUUGCGGUCAUUACAGAACGAGGUCAUGUCUACUCAAAACAUCUCUCUUCUCAGGUUGCUUGGUCCUGGUCCAGGAGCGGCAACUCUCUUGAGUUAGCCUGAAACGCCGACGGCAACCAAAGAGCUGACGUGUGGUGGUCCCCCCCCCCCCCCCCCACACCCCUCCCUCUCUAAGGCAGCUGAACAACUCGAGGUAUGUUUAAGAAGCGAGGUGAUGUGCCACAUCCCAAGAGCUGGCACGGAACGGAAAGCCACAACCACCACCUGCAACGGUUCCCCGAAAAAAGAAACGCUGCGAGCCAAAAAAGACGACUUGGCGGUUUCGGUGUGCAGGAGGAGGAGGAGGAGGACGAAGACCCCGCUCAGUGACC